AGCGGCGGACGGGUGAGUAACGCGUGGGUAACCCGCCUCAUACACAUGGAUAACAUACCGAAAGGUAUGCUAAUACAAGAUAAUAUAAGAGAUUCGCAUGGGUUUCUUAUCAAAGCUCCGGCGGUAUGAGAUGGACCCGCGUCUGAUUAGCUAGUUGGUAAGGUAACGGCUUACCAAGGCGACGAUCAGUAGCCGACCUGAGAGGGUGAUCGGCCACAUUGGAACUGAGACACGGUCCAAACUCCUACGGGAGGCAGCAGUGGGGAAUAUUGCACAACGGGCGAAAGCCUGAUGCAGCAACGCCGCGUGAGCGAUGAAGGCCUUCGGGUCGUAAAGCUCUGUCCCCAAGGAAGAUAAUGACGGUACUUGAGGAGGAAGCCCCGGCUAACUACGUGCCAGCAGCCGCGGUAAUACGUAGGGGGCUAGUGUUAUCCGGAUUUACUGGGCGUAAAGGGUGCGUAGGUGGUUUCUUAAGUCAGGAGUGAAAGGCUACGGCUCAACCGUAGUAAGCUCUUGAAACUGGGAAACUUGAGUGCAGGAGAGGAGAGUGGAAUUCCUAGUGUAGCGGUGAAAUGCGUAGAUAUUAGGAGGAACACCAGUAGCGAAGGCGGCUUUCUGGACUGUAACUGACACUGAGGCACGAAAGCGUGGGGAGCAAACAGGAUUAGAUACCCUGGUAGUCCACGCCGUAAACGAUGAGUACUAGGUGU
rnacentral:rRNA from 1 species